CAUGAGCAACCUGCCCUUCAGAGGGGGACAACAGUUGGAAACGACUGCUAAUACCGCAUAACAUAUCCGGGAGGCAUCUCCUGGAUAUCAAAGAUUUAUCGCUGAAGGAUGGGCUCAUGUCUGAUUAGCUAGUUGGUGGGGUAACGGCCCACCAAGGCUACGAUCAGUAGCCGGUCUGAGAGGAUGAACGGCCACAUUGGGACUGAGAUACGGCCCAGACUCCUACGGAAGGCAGCAG
rnacentral:rRNA from 1 species